AACGCACCUUGCACUCCUUGGUAUUCCGAGGAGCAUGCCUGUUUGAGUGUCAUGAAAGUCUCAACCUUUACUUGCUUUUACCUAUAAGCUAGUCUGGCUUGGAUUUAUGGAAGUUUGCUAGUUAUUAACAAAUUAGCUCUUCUCAAUAUCAUUAGCAAAUUUACUGCUAAGCUCUUUGAUAUGAUAAUUAUCAAUGUCAUAGGGAUUAUGCAUAUUAAUUUUGCUUACAAUUGUCUCUAUGAGACUAUUUAUUUACUAUUUGACAAUUUGACCUCAAAUCAGGUAGGACUACCCGCUGAACUUAA
rnacentral:misc_RNA from 1 species